rnacentral:lncRNA from 1 species
UUAUAGUUUCAGGAGCCUAAGUUGGGUAGAGGUUUGUGGAAAGACCUGUUUGCAAACUAUGGAGGGUUUGUGUUUCCUUGAUGUUGGAGAACAUCACCUACCGGGGAGGCCUUGAGUUGUGUAAAUGAGCGGGCUGCUUCUCAGCUUGCCAGUGGUUGGCCACAGGGCUCUCCCUUUGAUAAGAUAAGGAUUUUUUUUUGUUUUUGGCUGCCCCAGGAAGAAUCACAGACUACAUGUUCCUGUCCACACAAGUUCUGGCUGCCAGGUGGAGCUUGAGUGCAGACUGUGAUUUACUUCUAACAAGAAUGUGGCAGAAGUGACACUAUUUGACUUCCAAGACUAAAAGACACUGUGGCUUCCUCACUCUCUCUUGGAUUGCUCACUGGAGUAAGCCAGCUGCCGUGUCACGAGGACACCCAAGCAGACCUAUGUAGAGGUACAUGCAGGAUGAGUCUUCCUGCCAACAACCAGUGAGAGACUGAGGACUUUUGCCAGCACCACGAGUGAGCCUUCUUGGAAGCAGAUGCUCCAGCUCCAGUCAAACCUUCAGAUGACUGCAGCCCUGGCCAACAGUUUGACUGCAACUUUAGGAGACCUUCAGCCAGAGGCACCCAGCGAAGCUGCAUCUGGACUCCUGAUUCACAGGAACUCUGAGAUGAUAAAUGUUUGCUGUUUUAACUAGCUAAGUUUUGGGGUAAUUAUGCAGCAACACAUAAGCAAUAUUGCAUCCAAACCCAGAAUCCAAGGAAGAGAAAUGGCGAAAGGAAAUGAACACUUUAAUUGAACUCUCUUCCUACUCUAACCACACUCCUCUUCCUACUUUCUCAAGGAGGAACACAAUUAUUUACCUGGUAUCCCAAAUGAGAAACCUAGAAGUCAUAUUUGACUCUACCUACCUAGUGUAUCACCAAGUUAUUUUCUUCUCCUGUCGCUUGAGCCUCUCCUUACUCUUACUGCUUUAUAUCAAGGCCUUUACUAUUUUCCAGUUACUACAACACAGCCUUUCUAACGUUUCUAUUUCACCACAGUCUUUCCCAGCUCCAUUCCAUUCUCUAGACUAAUGCCAACAAUACCUUUUUCAAAAACAUAUCUGAUUCAUCUGAAUCAUAUCUGAUUCAUUAAAAUUCACUACUAGUUGCCACAUUGCAGAGGACAAAAUUCAAAUGUCAUAGCAUGGCAUGUCUGCUCCUGUCCUAUAGCUUUUUCUCUCAUCUCCCAUGUUCACAGCCUAUAAUCUGGCCAUCCUUCACCUUUGCAUAUGCUGCUUUCUUUCUGUGUGGAAGAUCUUUCAUUCUUUCCUUAUAACUCCUUUUCAUAUUUCUUUAAAAGACUCAGCUCUAGCUCCAUCUCAGAAAACAUUCCUUAAUUAUUAAGACCAGGUUAUGACUUUCU